AGCUCGGUAGCUAUUAUGAUAAGAUAUUCACUGACAGAAACAGGAGAGGGAAGGAAUUUUCAAGUUGCAGCGUAGUCUUCGCAGCCGUAUCUAGAAUGUAAUAUAAGGAAACGUGGAGGAAAAUAGCGGAGGCAACGGAGCUGAGUGGCCAUGCGAACAGCGAACGACGAACGGUGAACGGGCGACCGGUGAGCUGCGAGGCUGAAAGGAAAAGGAAGAAAAAGGGGGUUCCAAGGAACCAAGGAGAGAACGGUGGAAAGAGAAUGGAGCGGCGCGGGGAGAACGGAUAGCUUCGAAGUGGGAGUCGCAGUCGGGGCUGGAGUCGGAGCUGGAGUCGGAACUGGAGUCGUAUUCGGAGUCGGUGGCGUGGGUGCGUCUACAGCGACUUCACCCACGCCAGUUUCGCUGCCGCCGCUUUUAUUUUAUGGCAAAAUUAUUCUGGCAGAAAAAUAAUUCAAUCUCUGCCGCUGUACAGAUUACCGUAGCAUCUUAUCGUGCGAAGCUACCGCCGAAUAGCCGCGAUAGCAUGGUCCAGCUGUCGCGAAUGGAAUUCCACUUUGCGAUUUCAAUACACGCACCAACAGGAGGAUAAUUAGAGGCGACGGCGAUACGAAUACUUGGUAAAUGCAUAUUCGGUUCUGCCGUUGGCAGUGCACGCGCGAUACGUUACGGAGCCAAUCUUGCUCCGGCUCAUCGAUGUCAAAAAUGUUUUCCGAUUUCAAUCGUUAAGUACCUUGGAGUGCGUGGAAUCGGCGAUCUCGUAUCGCGGAAACGAAUGGACGCAACGAAAUAAAAUUAAUGAGGGCGGAACGAGGCGAAGCGCUCCGCUCCGUUUGAUUUUAACGUUUAUAUACCAUCGAUACGGUCGUUAUUUUUAUAUUUUGUCGAGCACAAGUACAGCGUCGGGAGUAAACACGACAGGAUCGAUAGGCGGAUAUUCGCAAAUAAAGAAAGAAUGGAAAAGAGAUGUCGAGAGGGAAAAAAAAGAAGGCGGAAUUCCCGUCCGACGAUAAUAUCCGCGAAGCAGUUUUCUCGUGCCGUCGUAAAUUUGGAAAUUUUUCUAUGAUACUUGGAAAUGGAAGCGACGAAGGAGUAGCGAAAUAGAAGAGAAUGAGCUUUAAGGUCGAAUCGGAUCUAUCGCGUAGCGCGUGGGGAUGGGGAGCAUCGGCAGCGACAGGAUAAAAUAUCGCUCGACGUAUUUCAGAGAUCUUAGGGACUUGGUCGACGAACAUUGGACGGCAAUUGGUAGCGGCACUCGACGAUACCGUGGCCUGUGGAGCUUUGUGCCCGCCAUGGUGCCCGUCACGACGAAUCGACGCGGCCGAAAGAAGAAUGUUUUUACGUGUCGCCGGUGCCCUCGCAUCGCUUACCGUGAAUAAAGAAUCGUGGAACCGUACAGAUGUUUCUUCGACGUAUUUCUCGUCGACGCGUCUCUCGCACCUAUCAUAAAAAUACGUAUCGCCGGGCGUAUCACGAUACGUUUUCCACCUUCGACAAAUUACUCUCUUAUUUCGAGCCGGGGCUUGCUACCUUUGCCGGAAGAUACACCGUAAUCGUUCUCCGGUGGAAAGACAGUCUGAGAAAUGGUCGACACCGCCGGAACGAAAAUAUGAGCAACGCUUAAACGAAGAAGCGCAGGCCCGUGUUCCUCUUUUUCUUUUCGCUGCGAGAGGCCCCGGUUCCCGUGCAAAAAAACCUUCGCGAACAUCGUACGUCGAUACUUUACGUUUCCACGCGAUAUCGCGGUAACGUGCCGCUAUCGCGAGUUACGCGACCUUCGAAAAUGAACAUUGUAUUUUCCUGUCAUCUUAUCGGAGGCACGGUCGCCUCCAAUGGAAGAUCCGAAAGUUGGAAACUGUUUGGAAUUUCUGCUUCGAUCCUUGGCCCUUAUCGAUGGCAAUAACGCUUCAUUUUCCAAGCGCGGGAUCCCAAUGAUAACGAGAAGUUGCGAGAUCGAUGUAUUUCGCGUGAAAUCGGUAAGAGUAGAUUGAAUCGGCCAUUAACGUUGAGGAUCCACGGCAACGAAGAUUUUCCUCAAACGAGAGUUUAACAAAGUUCCAUGUUAUUACGAUAGAACAGCGAACUUUGAAUAUAAGAGGGAGUACAGAAGGAAGCUUGACUUUCAAGGGAAGGCAACUUCGCUUCCAAAAGAGCAAACAUCUCUCUGUUCCUUUUUCUCGAGGCAGAGCUCGGCAAAUUUUUAUCCCGGCGAAAGCAUUAAUUUGUGAAAAAAAAAAGAAAGAAAAAAAAAAAGAUAGCGAAAGAAGAAAAAAGAGAAGAGCCAAGUAUAGGAAUUUCGCGGCACGGUCGCGGCCUCCCCUUGCUCUAGCUCGCAUUUCAGGGAUAUUUAAGUUUCAUCGCGAAACUUUAGCGAGACGCUGCAUUUAUUAAAUCCUCCGGCAUAUUUGACGAGCAAAUCUGAGAAUUGUCGUGUCACUGUCGUCGUUCUCCUUUCGUCCGAAGUGAAGGAUGAGAAAAAAAGAAAAUCGAGACGAGGGGGUAUCCGAAGAAUGAGCAAGAGAGAAAAAGAUAGGGGAACGAAAGGGCAGGACCAUUCAUUUAUUAAAGGAACGGUAUUAAUGUUUGAGCUAGUUACAUAGAUCGAGAAAAGUUAAAACACAGCGACAACGUGGAUGAUCGUUGAUGUAUUCCGGUCGAGUAAAAGAUUACGUAUUACAUCUAUAGAAAAUCAAUCUCGUACUCGGCUGCCGUUUUAAUUAAUCGCGCAUCAGUUCGACCAGUCGGCCGCUUUCAUAAUACAAUUUUUAAUCACCAUUCGCGAUGUAAUUCGAUCAAUUUAAUUACAUUUCCCGUGAUACAAUAUAAAUUCAGCGUGCCACGCGAUAGAUAAUAUUUGAUGCGUUAAUAUCGCGAAAAGUAGGAAUCGACGUGUAAAAUGGAUCAGCGCGAGCCAACGAAUAAUAAAAGCUAUUACCGCGACGAUGGAUACACAAGGCGCAAUUAUAUAACCAUUACGAUUAAUAAAUGCGGCAUCGGCUCGCGAAAGGUGGGGCACCAUCUGCGUACCGCCCGUUUAAAGUUGCAAUCGACCUCGUUGCAACGCGUUUACGAUGCUUAUUAAAUUCAUUAGACGCGCGAGUUGCGCUCUCUACGGCUCCACGUACUCGUUCAAACGCGAAUCGUCGCCGUUUCUUUCACUCCGAUCGUUCUGGUCCGUAGUGCACGUCCUUCGCCGGUGGAGUCCAACAGUCAAAUAAAAAUCUUACGGAAUACUUUCAUUGUUUCUCGUUCUCGCCAACUGGCUGUCCAACUUUCGCGAGUAGUCUUCGAUUAUCGCCAACUUGGAUCUCGCCUGUAGGAGAGAGAAGGCCAGUCUCUCGUACGCGAGUGACGCUACUCAUUCGGGAAGAAAGUUUUUCCGACAAAAGAUUUGUUAUACGCGUGAAUAAUAGCUAAAAAGUGGAUGCUGAGAACGGUCCUUUUAUUUUUUCUCGAGCACUGAACUCGUUAUCGGAGUUAGGUAACCAGCUACAUACAUACAUACAUAUGUACGUAUAUAUAUAUAUAUACACGUGUAUAUAUAUAUAUAUAUAUAUAGUAGCUAGCAAAGUGAAAUGGAGGCCAGGAGGUGGGAAACGGGAGAUGGAAAGUUAGCAUACGAAUGCCCAAUUGUGUUUGUGGACUGGUUCGUCGCUCUGAUUUACAUAGUUAUUAUGAUAUUAUGCAGAUGCAAAAAGAUUUUUAUCAUCGUAGCUGUCGUUGUCGUUGGAAGGGAAAAGAAGGUAUACAAGUUGUAUGACACGAGUUUGCUCUGUCGUCUGUCCGCGUCUGUGACGCGUUGCCGCCGGCAUAAACCAGCCGAAAGGCUCGAGCGCCGCUCGAACGGAGACGAUUCGAGAGAUCGCGCGGCUCGAAACAAUCGGGUUGCAGAAACUAAGUGGACCGCAAAUCGCGGAUUAAAGCACCGCGGCGUAGAAAUACAUUAAGGAUGCCUCUUUGCAUCGGGCGUAGUCACGAGAUCCGAGAUCGCUCUUGAUCCACUGAACUCGCGUUCCGUUGCACCAGCGGUUAUCGCGAACAGGAACCAAAACCGUAUUUCGCUGACGGCGUAUGCGGAAAACCAAGCGGCGCCUCUGGAAUUGUACAAAAUUUCAAAGAGAACGGAAAUUAGUUCUCUACCUUGAACGUCGAUGUUAAUCUCAGAUUUUACGUGUUGCGCAGCUACGCUCCGGCUUCGCUACGUCGUAAAUUUCCUUUGCGUAUCUUAAUCGCAGUAAUUUUUCCCGUGCUUUGUAACCACCGUUGUAAUCUUCACCGGCUGGCCUUUCGUUUAAUCUUAUCCGCGUACUCGUAGACAAUUGCGCGCUAUCGAACGAUCGCCCUACUCCUCCGUGUCUAGGUGUUGCAGCUGAGCUCGAAUUCCGACCAACUUAACCAAUCGAUGAAUUUCGUUGUGCAAGAAACGCUUCCCUGAAACUUCAUUGUGCGUCGGAUCGUAACGGGCAAAACUAAAGCCGAUUACUAAAAUAACAGUCGAGUUUAGAAGGAGAGCGCACAAGAUUCAACGAACGAACGAGUUCAUUCGCGGCUUCGUAUAGCGCCUCGAGUGUUACGUCAGCUCUCGCGUCUAGCGGAAAUCGUUAAAACUUGUCGCCAAUGCAAGCAAAAUAUCGGGCAACGAAAAACAACGAAGAUGUCCUUCAACUUUUUCAUCGUCUCGCGUUAAUCUGCAUAUACACGCCUUGUAACAACCUCAACGAUUACGCUCUUCGUCUUAUUUUCCUAACGAUUAUUAUGCAAGGAGUAUGCCACGUAAAUAUCGAGGCGGCUGGUGGAUGGGAUAAUGGGUAGGUGCGCGGCAUUUAUCAGGAGGGUAAAAAGGCGUUAAAGUCACCGCGGCAAAAAAAGGACGUAAACGACGCAAACUCGACGGCCACUUAAUAAAUAUUUGAUCAAUCCUGACGGAGCGUUGCCGGGACGCGGUGAACGCCCGACCGAACGGUUUCGGGUAUUCUCCGCGGACCAAACGGAACGAUACCAAAGCGGAUUAUCGGAACGCCGAAGUGGAAGUCGAAGGAAAAGUUGGUCGCUCUUUUACCCAGAUUCCAGGGACUUUAAAUUCUCACGGCUCGAAUCCUUGCCGAAACUUUUCUCCGCGAUGGAGCACCGUAAAUAUAUAACCCCCUUCCCUGCUCUCGCUUCAACGCGUUCAAAGUCGCAAGCUGUUACACCGCGCGGCACCCACCGGCACCCACCGGCGCCCACCGGCAUCCACCUGCACCCAGCUGUCCCUUUCCCUCUCUGGAAUCGCCGCCCUACCGGCGGACCUGCUCUCACCUCGACCGUAAGAGGAGGAGGAGGUAGAGGACCGAGGCGAGCGACAGAACGAACCGGGAAGCUCCGUUCGACCCUCUCGGUCGCGUAGAAACGUCGAUGGCGCGGAGUCGCCGCCGCCACCACCGUCGCCUCUGUCGUCACCGACUACGCCGCGAUAAUUCCAUUUCCACGAAGCGGCGCGAAUUCGUACUUUAAUUAAUCGAAUUCGCGCCCAUGUCCCUGGGACCUGUCCGCCCCACCGCCGCUGCCAACCAACUACCCUCCACCACCUUUCGCAACCCUUCCUCCUUCUAGGACAAGUUUCGAUCCCGGAAAUUAGUAAGAUCGCACAUGCGGAACACGAAGGUUUCCUAACUGCACGCUGCACAUCCACUCAACCGCCCGACCACUCGCGCCUCGUAUACGUGCACAUACUUUAAGCUUGCACGCGCGCUCACAGGCGCGAACCAGAGCAGCUGGGGACGCGCAUUAUGCGCUCGCGAUUCGCGUCACGCUCCCUUAAUAUGUCGCAGCUAGAUGCUCUCCAUCCUUGCCAGCGGAAAAAAGGUUUAUUAAAGUCGAGCCAGGGAAAUUUGCAACUAAAUACCGUAUAUAUAUAUAUAUAUAUAUGUGUUAUAUAUAUACACACACACAUAUAUAUAUAUAAUAUACGUACGUGCGUCGCACGACAAACGUGAUUCGACUUUAACGGAUUGAAAUAUCGCGACCGGUUUUACCAGGGAUCGGAACCACGGAAAUAUUAGCGCGUUCCGAGCCGUUGAAUCGUUUUCAAUGGAACGAAAAUGGGGUGGAGCGAAGAAUGAUGCCUGGGGGGUGGUUGAACGAAGUGGGGAAAGUGUGGGAACAGGCAGCCCUCGCUAGGGCGCUCAUCCGAAAAUCUAAUUUCGGCGUAUUCCGCUUCCGCUAAGUUGUCCUCAAGUUUUCGGACGUUCGGGUCGCUUCGAAAAAUAACCGCGGCAGCCGUGCAAUUUGCAAUUAACCAAGUGGAACGAAGAAGCCGUUGAGAAAACAAAAGAAGCGGAACUCGCGCGUGUUACGUUAGGGCGUGCUUAAGGCUUCCAGGUUGUUGCGCCAACUUUCGAAACUAUUUUAGCGACGAACGCGGUACACCGAGUAAGAUCAGCCGCAGCGUUCACGCGCAAACACGAAAUUGCGUUUAAAACUUUGGCCCCCUUACUCCCGCAUGUUCACCGGAAUAGCGUGCAUUUCACACGCGUCAUCGUACGCGUAGCACGAUUAUUCCAUUCACGCCUUCUUCGUCCUCUGAUACGAGUCUGCGUGCCGCACGUAUGACCGCAGAGGCACGUGUCCUUAAAGCUCGAGCCGCGAGCAGAUUACAUCUAAUAUGCGAGCCAAGCGUCGGGACCUCGUCUGCCAAACUAUCCUUUCCUCGGUGAAGGCUCACGCGUACCGUGACUCCCACCGUGCGCAUACCUGGCGCGCGUGGUCACGUGCGUCUGCAUUACCGGCUGGUAAUUAACGUCAAUCUCGCGCUCUUGCAGCGCGUUUCUCCGGCCGUUGUAACCUCCACCUCCCUAGGCGCCAUCCUAACGCAAACCACGCGGAUGUUUGCGAUAUUAGGCGGCGUCGGGUACGGGGACGAGAGCGCGUAGCUUAUACUUUGACGGUUUAAUUAGGAGUUUCGAGCGAGAUAAGCGGCCCAUCGUCAUCGACGAUAACCGCGAAAGAACGAUUGACCGGUGACCUCCGGCUCGAUCAAUCGUUGGUUCGUUGCCGGGUCUUGCUCCGGCCGAAUGUUUUUAAUAAUCGGCGUGCCUCGUCAGUGAGGUAGCCGAUUCUUGGAAACGGCGAACUUGACUUUGUAGCGGAGUUGCGACGAGUUGGAGAAGAGAGGUUGUAGACGAUAGAACCGUGAAAUUUCAGAGGAACGACGUUCCGAUGGAUUAACGGAGAGCUUUAUUAAUCGGUUAACCUCUCACAAUUUAUCUUUCCGAAGAAGCGAGUUUAAGUUUUCGCGACGGGUCUCGGGAACUGCUGGAAAAGCGUUUACUCGCGUCGAUAUACAUCGCGAACAAGUUAAAGCCUGUCUGCGCGCUUUCUCGCGAAUCAACUUAGUUGCUGAUAAUAAAUAUCAUUAGGAUGACUCGACGGAACGAUAUUUUUCAAAGCGACCGCCAGAUACGCUGGAACCCCGAGAGCUUGGUGUCCCCGAUCGAUUCAUUUGUCAGGAAUUUACCGAGGAGCCUGUGGGUCUUCGGAAACGAGCGGCUCGACCCGGAGAAAAGGACCUACGUCGGUUUCGAGCUUUCGUAGAUACGGUUUUUACCUCGCCGUCCCAUUGUUCUUACGCGAACUUCGACAUCGAUUCCAUUACGAUCACGCUGGUGAAAUGGUCGUUCGGUUUCGAUGGACAAUUUGACAAAUCGUCGGAACGAUCCUACCGUGGCGGUGAUCGAGAUUCUGUUGGAGGGUAAAAGUGUCUAACGGGAAACCGAGUCCGAAUCGUUUCGGAUCCAGCCGAGGCCAGACGAGCCAAGGAGGAAGCGGCACUAUGUCAGGGAAAUGAACGCGUUAGUCACGCGUUGCACGCUGCGCCCUGGGGGUCACUUCGCAUUCAUAACCAGGUCCGUGGCGUUCUGAUGCUUGCGGGAUAAGAUCGGCAGCGAAGGAGCGCGCACGCGCGCCAACCGCUUAAGCGGUAAACUUGAAAAACUUGGUGAAGUAACCGGCACGGGCCCGGCCAGAGAGAGAAAAGAGCUAGUGGGGUAGUCGAGGCAAGCCGAGUGGAGCUACUUCAACUUCAGGGACAUUCACCACCAUCGUUGUCGUCGUCGUCGUCGUCGUCGUCGUCGUCGUUCGCGACCGCCCCUCCUUUUCUUCUUCCAGCGAGCCUUCGUCGCUUUACGCGCCAGCCUUGCGAACAAACUUUGUCGUUUUCCGCUAUUUUCGAUGGCCUGGCGCGUCAAUGAGCCCAACGCGAAGCGGCUCCGGGACACGAAACUCGGACAGUUUCGUGCCAACGAAAGGGAACUCGACGACCGUUUUGCACACUCUGGGUAGAUCUUGCGGAGGAUCCCCGAGAGUCAGUCAGACCUUCUUUGUAUUCACCGAUGAAUCUUCUUUCUUAUCGCGUCUUAUUCUCUCUACGUUCUCGCUGUAUCGCGUUAUCAAUUUCAAUUACGUAGGCAGCCUUCGUGGUUAACGUCGAGACUGUCGCAGUAGUGGAAAUUUAUCAUUUUUCACGCAAGUUUCAGAUUAGAUUUACCACGGUGCGCUUUUGGGAAUUUGAAUAAUUUCUUGCGGAAUAUAUGCGUAAAAGUUUAUUUUCCAUUAUGUACGUACAGCCUCGUUCGCUAGCACGCCAUCGUGCAUAAGUGUUUGGAAAUCCGAUUUAAUUCGAUCAACCUGUCUUUGCCGUUAGUUCUCUUUGCUGUUAGUUUUUGCUGUAACUGGAUUCGACGAAUUUAAUACCAGACAUCUUCCGUAUUUCCAUAUUAUCGCCCAAGUUUUAUAUUUAUCUCUGAUAAAUGGUCGAUACUUUGCAAAAUCUACGCAAAUAUUUGAAACACGAAUGGACAAAUACGCGUAUUUCGAUCGCUUCAACGUCCUAAAUGUCGAACGAAUACACGCAAUAUCACUCGGCUCUAUCGAUGAAGAAUAUUUGGCUCGAGUUAAACGAUUUACGACCUAAUUCCUCAAAUUCGGUUAUGAACAAUUUUUCGGCGAUUUACUUUUCCAAUACGGCCGAUUCGACUCGUUAGUAGCACUUUGCCGUUCGACGUCAUUGUGGGCGUAAUAAACGAAAAGCGAAACGCACAAUGACAGCUCGACGGCCGUACUUUUCUCCGAGGAUCUAACUUCUACUAUAGUUAAAAGAUAAGAGGUUUUGUUCGACUACUAAUGUCAAUAAUUUUAGUCGUAAUUAUAAUUCAGCAGCGCGACUGUAUUACUUUUGCCUGCAA